AAUAGAUACCCCCGGUAGUCCACGCCGUAAAACGAUGAAUGCUAGGUGUUAGGGGUUUCGAUACCCUUGGUGCCGAAGUUAACACAUUAAGCAUUCCGCCUGGGGAGUACGGUCGCAAGACUGAAACUCAAAGGAAUUGACGGGGACCCGCACAAGCAGUGGAGUAUGUGGUUUAAUUCGAAGCAACGCGAAGAACCUUACCAGGCCUUGACAUCCAACUAACGAAGCAGAGAUGCAUCAGGUGCCCUUUACGGGAAAGUUGAGACAGGUGGUGCAUGGUUGUCGUCAGCUCGUGUCGUGAGAUGUUGGGUUAAGUCCCGCAACGAGCGCAACCCUUGAUCUUAGUUGCCAGCACUUUGGGUGGGCACUCUAGGAUGACUGCCGGUGACAAACCGGAGGAAGGUGGGGAUGACGUCAAAUCAUCAUGCCCCUUAUGACCUGGGCUACACACGUACUACAAUGGCCGAUACAACGGGAAGCGAAACCGCGAGGUGGAGCGAAUCCUAUCAAAGUCGGUCUCAGUUCGGAUUGCAGGCUGCUAACCG
rnacentral:rRNA from 1 species